rnacentral:rRNA from 1 species
GACGAACGCUGGCGGCGUGCUUAACACAUGCAAGUCGAGCGGAAAGGCCCUUCGUGGUACUCGAGCGGGGAACGGGUGAGUAACACGUGAGUAACCUGCCCCCUACUUUGGGAUAACCACCGGCAACAGGGGCUAAUACCGGAUACGACACAGCGUCGCAGGGGGUCGGGGUGGAAAGUUCCUCGGGCUAGGAUGGGCGCGGGGCCUAUCAGCUUGUUGGGGGGGGGUUGGCGUCCCAAGGGGACGACAGGUAGCUGGCCUGAGAGGGGGACCGGCCACACUGGGACUGAGGGACGGCCCAGACGCGUACGGGAGGCAGCAGGGGGGAAUAUUGCACAAUGGGCGGAAGCCUGAGGCAGCGACGCUGCGUGAGGGAUGACGGCCUUCGGGUUGUAAACCUCUUUCAGCAGGGACGAAGCGUAAGUGACGGUACCUGCAGAAGAAGCGCCGGCCAACUACGUG